rnacentral:misc_RNA from 1 species
AGGAGCGGGUGUUGCCAGCAGAUGGCAGUUGAAUCAACUCGUAAGUUGAAUUUCCUUCUGUUGCUGCUCUCGCUCUUUCAUUUGCACGUGUAUGGGUAUGUAUAUUUUCUUCUGCUUUACUGUCAGCAGCUUGAAAUUUUCUUCUGUGGAGAAAUGAGUAUCUGCAGUAUUGGCACUAGUAGUGUUAUCAUGCAGACAUUAAUAUGUAAAUUGAAGGGUAUACUAUUGAUACUUA